AUAUAUCUAGGCAAAUUGCCUAGAAGUGAAUCCCCUCUCCUGCUUAAGUCCUUCCCACAGAGAGCGGUUUGAUAUGUCACUGAAACCAGCAUCCAGGUGGUAUUGCUCCAUAUGCCUGAGACCCUAACAAAAGCCUAAUUACAACUCAUAUGCCUGGAGCCAGGACAUGUGCAGGAUGCCAUGAUGGUCCAAGUUAUAUUGGGAUUCAGCCAAUAGAAGAUAUUUUGCCUGUCAUCCCUAAGCUUAGGACAAUAGACUCUGCCAAGAGAGGGGAUUAUUACAUAUUGCAGAGCCCAGCACCUAGGUGGAGUGACUCUCAUCUUUUUCUUCUACCCCGUAUAUAGCCAGCUUGGUGACCUACUAUUUGAGUCUAUACCCAGGCCCAGACCACAGAUGAAAUUGUGCAAUAUGUGGAACAAACACCUAAACAAUAUAUAACACCUUCCUUGGCUCUGUCUACAAAGGGCACUUUUAUAUAUCACUGGGACCAUCAACCAGGUGAUGUUGUGCCAUAUAACUGAGACCGUAUCAAAAGCCUAAUAACAAGACGUAUGUCUGGAGCCCCGAUAUGCACAGGAUGGUGAUAUAACCCUCUUCUCUGGAAUGGGCCCCACACAAAGGAAGGAUAGUGACAUAUUGCAAGCCCAGGCACACAGGUGCUUAAUUGCUUUCUACUACUUGGGAGGUCCACAAUGCCAAUUGCCCUUUAGUAUUGACUCAAGCCUUUGUCAAGUAAACAUUCCUGAAUAAAUGCCCAGAGCACAGUUGAAAUUGUGACAUAUGUACACCAAGCAACCAAGCAAUGUAUAACACCUCAUUUGGCAAUGGAAUCGAGGGCACUUUUACAUAUCACUGAGACCAGCGCCCAGCUGAUGUGAAAUAUUGGCCUGAACCCUGCCUACAAAAGCAUUGUGGCUUUUAUCUAGCUCCA
rnacentral:lncRNA from 1 species